rnacentral:tRNA from 1 species
AGCAAAGUGGCCGAGAAUUAGGCGAAAGAUUGUAGCUCUUUUCACGGAUCAUACCCUUUGCAA